rnacentral:rRNA from 1 species
GACGAACGCUGGCGGCGUGCCUAAUACAUGCAAGUUGAGCGCUGAAGGUUGGUACUUGUACCGACUGGAUGAGCAGCGAACGGGUGAGUAAAGCGUGGGGAAUCUGCCUUUGAGCGGGGGACAACAUUUGGAAACGAAUGCUAAUACCGCAUAAAAACUUUAAACACAAGUUUUAAGUUUGAAAGAUGCAAUUGCAUCACUCAAAGAUGAUCCCGCGUUGUAUUAGCUAGUUGGUGAGGUAAAGGCUCACCAAGGCGAUGAUACAUAGCCGACCUGAGAGGGUGAUAGGCCACAUUGGGACUGAGACACGGCCCAAACUCCUACGGGAUGCAGCAGUAGGGAAUCUUCGGCAAUGGACGAAAGUCUGACCGAGCAACGCCGCGUGAGUGAAGAAGGGUUUCGGAUCGUAAAACUCUGUUGGUAGAGAAGAACGUUGGUGAGAGUGGAAAGCUCAUCAAGUGACGGUAACUACCCAGAAAGGGACGGCUAACUACGUG